CCUACGGGGAGCAGCAGUGGGGAAUAUUGCACAAUGGGGGAAAGCCUGAUGCAGCGACGCCGCGUGAGCGAAGAAGUACUUCGUUAUGUAAAGCUCUAUCCGCAGGGAAGAAAAUGACGGUACCUGAGUAAGAAGCCCCGGCUAACUAUGUGCCAGCAGCCGCGGUAAUACGUAGGGGGCUAGCGUUAUCCGGAUUUACUGGGGGUAAAGGGAGCGUAGGUGGUGUGGAAAGUCUGAGGUGAAAGGCGAGGGCUAAACCGCAGAAUGCUUUGGAAACUGGAAAGCUUGAGUGCAGGAGAGGAGAGUGGAAUUCCUAGUGUAGCGGUGAAAUGCGUAGAUAUUAGGAGGAACACCAGUUGCGAAGGCGGCUUUCUGGACUGUAACUGACAUUGAGGCUCGAAAGCGUGGGGAGCAAACAGGAUUAGAUACCCGUGUAGUC
rnacentral:rRNA from 1 species